AUCGCUUCUCGGCCUUUUGGCUAAGAUCAAGUGUAGUACAUCAAGAUAGUUUCUUGGGUUUUCUAAUCUUCUUUCCUUACCAAAGACUAUUAGCAACUGUUACACUAUGUCUUAGAGCAGCUGGAAAUGUUUU
rnacentral:snRNA from 1 species